UAGGGAAUCUUCCACAAUGGACGCAAGUCUGAUGGAGCAACGCCGCGUGAGUGAAGAAGGUUUUCGGACCGUAAAGCUCUGUUGUUGGUGAAGAAGGAUAGAGGUAGUAACUGGCCUUUAUUUGACGGUAAUCAACCAGAAAGUCACGGCUAACUACGUGCCAGCAGCCGCGGUAAUCGUAGGUGGCAAGCGUUGUCCGGAUUUAUUGGGCGUAAAGCGAGCGCAGGCGGAAGAAUAAGUCUGAUGUGAAAGCCCUCGGCUUAACCCGAGG
rnacentral:rRNA from 1 species